rfam:Chondromyces apiculatus DSM 436 contig82, whole genome shotgun sequence.
AAGGUGGCCCUGCCAGGGGCCCCGGACGAGACGCGCCGUACCCGGUCAGGACAAGACGACGCACG